rnacentral:rRNA from 1 species
AGCGAACGCUGGCGGCAGGCCUAACACAUGCAAGUCGAGCGCUCAUCUUCGGAUGGGAGCGGCGCACGGGUGAGUAACACGUGGGAACCUACCUUGAAGUAUGGAAUAACUGAGGGAAACUUCAGCUAAUACCGUAUACGCCCUACGGGGGAAAGAUUUAUCGCUUCAAGACGGGCCCGCGUUGGAUUAGCUGGUUGGUGAGGUAAUGGCUCACCAAGGCGACGAUCCAUAGCUGAUUUGAGAGAAUGAUCAGCCACACUGGGACUGAGACACGGCCCAGACUCCUACGGGAGGCAGCAGUGGGGAAUAUUGGACAAUGGGCGCAAGCCUGAUCCAGCCAUGCCGCGUGAGUGAUGAAGGCCUUCGGGUUGUAAAGCUCUUUCAGAUGGGACGAUGAUGACGGUACCAUCAGAAGAAGCCCCGGCUAACUUCGUGCCAGCAGCCGCGGUAAUACGAAGGGGGCUAGCGUUGUUCGGAAUUACUGGGCGUAAAGCGCGCGUAGGCGGCUUUGUCAGUCAGGGGUGAAAUCCCGGGGCUUAACCUCGGAACUGCCUUUGAUACUGCAAGGCUUGAGUCUGUGAGAGGAUGGUGGAAUACCCAGUGUAGAGGUGAAAUUCGU